rnacentral:Y_RNA from 1 species
GCAGCGAAUGCCUUGGGUACUACAUUGUGUCGCGGGUUCGAGCCCCGUCAGCCGCAAGGCUGUAGCUCAGUCGAUAGAGCAAAUGUGCCCAUCAACUCGUCGCUGCACG